rnacentral:lncRNA from 1 species
GGGCAGUGAUAAUGCGACCGAACAUGGGUGGCACACUCUAGUCCUUAAUGAUGUUGUAGACCUGGAGAUUAUAAAGGUAGUCUAACCAGUUGAGUUAGGGAAGAUCUUCUUUGGCUCAAUUGGUUAGAGCGCUGCCUUUAGAUCCCGAGAUUGAGGGUUCGAAUCCCGCUGGUACCAUCCAUGGAUUUUCACAACAAUGAUACUAGUAUGUCUC